UACGUAGGGUGCGAGCGUUGUCCGGAAUUAUUGGGCGUAAAGAGCUCGUAGGCGGUUUGUCGCGUCGAAUGUGAAAACCCCGGGGCUCAACCCCGGGCCUGCAUUCGAUACGGGCAGACUAGAGUUCGGUAGGGGAGUCUGGAAUUCCUGGUGUAGCGGUGAAAUGCGCAGAUAUCAGGAGGAACACCGGUGGCGAAGGCGGGACUCUGGGCCGAUACUGACGGCUGAGGAGCGAAAGCGUGGGGAGCAAACAGG
rnacentral:rRNA from 1 species